CUGGAGGCGUGCUUACUCAUGCAAGUCGAACGAUGAAUUGGAGCUUGCUCCACGGAUUAGUGGCGAACGGGUGAGUAACACGUGAAUAACCUGCCCUCAAUUUCGGAAUAACCCAGGGAAACCUGGGCUAAUACCGGAUACGUAAACCUGUGGCAUCACAUGGUUUUGGAAAGUUUUUCGAUUGAGGAUGGAUUCGCGGCCUAUCAGCUUGUUGGUGAGGUAAUGGCUCACCAAGGCAACGACGGGUAGCCGGCCUGAGAGGGUGGACGGCCACACUGGGACUGAGACACGGCCCAGACUCCUACGGGAGGCAGCAGUGGGGAAUAUUGCGCAAUGGACGAAAGUCUGACGCAGCGACGCCUCGUGAGGGACGAAGGUCUUCGGAUUGUAAACCUCUUUCAGCAGGGACGAGCGAAAGUGACGGUACCUGCAGAAGAAGCACCGGCUAACUAUGUGCCAGCAGCCGCGGUAAUACAUAGGGUGCAAGCGUUGUCCGGAUUUAUUGGGCGUAAAGAGUUCGUAGGCGGUUUUUCGCGUCGGAUGUGAAAACUCAGGGCUCAACCCUGAGCCUGCAUUCGAUAC
rnacentral:rRNA from 1 species